rnacentral:snRNA from 1 species
AUACUUCCGGGGCAACGGAGUUACCAUGAUCACACAGGUGAUUUUCGCAAGAUGAGGCUUCUCCGUGGCACUCCAGAUGUAUGGACACCUGUGAUUUCCUCAAAUGCUGGAAACUCUGCUGCAAAUUUGCGCUAUUGGAGAUCACAGCUGUACUCUCCC